AUUUAGGGUUUCCUUUGAUUUUGGGGAAAUAAAAAUAUAGCGAUCGAUUACACAUGCUAAUGGAAAUAUAUAAGUGAGUAAAUAUGAUAUGUAAAUCAAGGUAUAUUAAGAAAAUAACAAUAAUAAGUUAUUGCCUAAUAAUGAAGAGCAUAUAGCCACGCUUUUACUGAAACAAGGAAAAGACUACUGGCAGCAGUGAAAAAUUUUAUACAAUUAAUUUAAGUUAGAUAUAGAGAUUGUUAGUAGUUUUGUCUAAUUACGUGCCAGCAGACGCGGUUACACUUAAGAGACAAGUUUUUGUGUAUAAAUAGGUUAUAAAUAUGUGUAGGUGUAUAUAAUAAAAAGCUUAGAAAUUUAAUAAUUUGGUAAAAUAAAUAUUAAACAUAAUAUCUGGUAAAACUAUAGCUUUUAAUAAGCUGAGACAUGGAAGAUAGGUAAAUAAACAGGAUUAGAUACCCUGGUAAUCCUUUCCCUAAAUAAAGAUUAAUUCUACCUGAAUAUUACAAUCGCAAGAAAGAAAGUCAAAAAAUCUGGCUGUUUGCUUUCCACUUAGAGGAGCUUGUAUAUUAAAUCGAUAGUCCACGAAGUACCUUACCUGUUCUUGAUAUUCAGGUGCUGCAUGGCCGUCUUAAGCUUAUUUGUAAAACUAUAGGCUAAAUCCCUAAAGGGAAUAAGUCAGGUAGUAUGGCCCUCAUGAUCAGGUUUAAUAUGCGCUACAAUUUUUAGUUUAAUUUAAAAUUAAAAAUAGAAGCUCAGCGAAAUCUUAGCCGUAAAGAGGAUUUAAAAGUAACCAGAUAUAAUAACGGUCUGGUGAAUAGGUUCAAGCAUUAGUACAAAUUGCCCGUCACCUUUGUUUGAUUAAUUUAUGAGAAAGACUCUGGUUUACUUAAAAUACCAAAACAAAGCAAGUCGUAACAUAGUGAGAAGAAGGGAACUUCUUCUUGCAGAGCUUCUACAAGAAA
rnacentral:rRNA from 1 species